AAGACACCAGGAGGCUCUUCAUAGAGUUUCACGACUCACCGUUGGGUGGCCAUGGGGGGAUCGUAAGGACAUUGAAGGCGAUGUGUUCAAGGUUUUACUGGCAUGGCAUGUCUGUUGACAUUGAACAAUGGAUACUGGAAUGUGACAAAUGCCAGAAGGUUGGGAAGCCACUGACCUCUGUGCAACCCUUACAGUGUAUAAAGGUGUCUGCUGUCUGGGAGUUGGUAGGCAUUGACUUAACGGGCCAACUACCAAAAACCAAGGCUGGCCAUGAAUACAUCAUGACAGUCACUGA